CGGAUCACCAUCAGAGAUAGAAAUCUGAUCAUUAGUAAUUUAACUGCCAGAAACACAGGAUCAUACAGAGUUCUGGACCCUGAAGGAAACAUCUUGAUCAAAGUGACACUCACAGCAUCAAAGGAAAAACUGCACGACACUGAUAAAGACAAAAUUGAUGACACUUAAUAUCAUACUGUAGGCUGCUGGAUUGGACUGACUGUGUUUUUGUGGUUCUGCUGGCUCUGAUUCUGACUGCUGUCAUGUUACUCAAGCGUCUGCACAGAGGUCACCUGCAGGGUGUCACUCGAGGAGGAAAAGAGAGACUGAGUUCAGGCGCCCCAGAAGCACUGAGGGCCCAUACUGACGUCUGCUGAGGGCCCGGUGGACCCUGAUUAAACUGUACAGGUGUGCAGGACAUCUAGUGACGUCACUGGUUACGGCUGGAAUUCACCACACGACUUGAACAUAUUUAACACUGUAAACAUCACACAUUUAAUAACAAUAUGUGUUCAAGAAAUGUCUCUAAAUAUCACACACGUGAAACCCUCAGACUGGAUGGAAUCAAAGUCUAAAACUAAAAA
ensembl:lncRNA